AAAUCACAAUGCGGGACUAGUAGUCUUGCAAUUGGAUUGAGAACAAUGUACAACUCUUAUCGAUAAGCCAUUGGAGGGCAAGUCUGGUGCCAGCAGCCGCGGUAAUUCCAGCUCCAAUAGCGUAUAUUAACGUUGUUGCAGUUAAAAAGCUCGUAGUUGAAAUGAAGGGUAGUUGUGUAAUGAAUACAUUCGUGUAUUUUGUUAUUCAAGUACCCUCCUUCUAAAUUCGAUAUAUGAGUAUUAAUUUACUUGUAUAUGGUUUUAGACAUUUACUGUGAGAAAAUUAGAGUGUUCAAAGCAGGCAUUUGCUUGAAUAUAUUAGCAUGGAAUAAUCAUGUAUGAUUUUCAUGAUGUAUUUGAUUGGUUUGGUUGAUGAGAAUAAGAUUAAAAGGGACAGUUGGGGGUAUUCAUAUUCAAUAGUCAGAGGUGAAAUUCUCGGAUUUAUGGAAGAUGA
rnacentral:rRNA from 1 species